GGGCGGGGGGGGGGGGCGGCUCCUCCCCCACCUCGGCUAACGACCCGCUGGCCUCCGGCCGCCCGAGCGCCUCUCGGCCUGUCCGAGCUAACUGCCUCUUAAAACUAAAGGCCGCGCCGUAGUCGUACUUGGUUCACUCGGCGACCCCCUUGGCCGAGCGCCUGCUCCGUGCCAGGCCCCGCUGGGACACAGCGGCGGGGAGGUUCUUUCCUUCCUGUGCGUGCAGCCUAAUGGGAAGAGGAGAGGCCGGUUUUGAAGGCUCCAGCAAGCAAAAGGAGGGUUACAGCUGUGAGGGGAUAAACGAGAGGUCACUGAUAACGGUAUCUACAAGAUCUUGCCGUCGGCAGGUCACGGAAGGCUUUUCUGAACGGAACCUUGUUCCGAGACCUGAUGCGCUUGUGCAAGGAAGAGCGUGAACCCCGCCAAGCAAAGGGAAGAAGGCAUGGGUUGGAAUCAGAGCCUGAACCCCAACCUGACUACAACCAGCAUCAUGUGGUUACUAACUGCUCUUCAUUCACCUAUUGAUGCCUCCCAGAAAAAAACGCUGCCAACCUUCCCGGAAAGCCCAGCUGCUAUUCCAACAAGAACCACUGGAGGGCCCCAAACACCACUAUGGCUCUCCCCAACGUCCCAUCUCCCACACUAGACAGGUGUCCAGCAAGCCCAUUGACCACAGCACCAUCACUUCCUGGGUAUCACCUCAGUUUAAUAUGACGGCAGAAAGCUGCUUCCCGGUGAACCAGAAAUGUCAUCACCGAAACCAGGCAAGACCUUCAAGUCGAAAAUGUACCACCUCCAAGUUCCCACAUCUAACAUUUGAGAGUCCACCCUUGUCUUCUGGUUCAGCCACACAUAGGACCCCCUUAACCAGUGAAUGCCCCAAUCAGUCAGAGAAGCGCAUUUCUGGAAGGCUCUUAGUUCCAAUGCUCAGUCCUCAAAGCUUUAAGGAAGCAUCAGCACACAUGCUUCAAGACUUAUCGUACCUGUUCAUUCCACCUGAUAUCCAUACCCCAGAGUCCUCAUUUGUGAAGGAGGGUCCCGUUUCCCCUGGUCAGAGGGAAGGGAGCCUUCCAAGCUGCUCCUUCCACACUAGUACUCCCAAGAGCCUAGAGCCUGGGCCUGUUCUAGUUAAAGACACUCCUGAGGAGAAGUAUGGGAUCAAGGUCACGUGGAGGAGACGACGCCACUUGUUCACUUACCUCAGGGAGAGAGGGAAGCUGAACGAAAACCAGUUCCUUGUGAAAAACUCACUGGAUUUCUCAGACACCAGCAGUCUCAAGAAAUUUUCAUAAAGUUGCUAAAGUACUUUUCUGGCUCACAGGAGAGUACAUCAGGAGGAUAAAAUGGAAAUGAUACCAAUAAUAUCAAUAGAAAAAAAUAUCUUAACUAGGACCUUGGAAUCAUAAGGGAAAUCAGUUCCCAGAUUUGCUUUUUAAAAUGUCUUUUCCUAAGAAGUUUUUAGUGUCAUAAACAGCUUCAUAUUUUUCUUAUAGUAACUGUUUAAAAUUUUAAAGUAUCUUAUAGUAACUAUUUAGCAUGUAUGUAAAUAAAUGGUUGCAGAAAGGUUUUAUUUUUUUAUUUUUAUUUUUGCAGAAAGGUUUUAGAGAGCCCUGCUUCUGAUUAUUGAUCAUGCAGCAAUACUGCCUUCUCCACGAAAGGUCUUUCUUCAUUGUUGUUUUUUUUUUAAACCACUGCUCAUUAAUCCUCUAAUCACACAUUCAAACUAAUUCAUUGCACAUUUUUGAGUACCAGCUCUGUGUCAAGUUCAGCCGCAGCUUCCUUUAUGACAUGAUGGAUGGGGAAAAAUAAAAGCGGACUCUGACUCCAGUUGAGCCGCCACCUCUGCAACCUUGCCUGUCUGCUAAAAGGCCAAGAUGGGAAUCUGGAGCCCAGAUAAUGAAGCAUGUUUAGGGUCACACAGUGAGUGGAGGCUGACACACGGAGGCGAUGCUCUGCUUUCCCAGCUUGUGCCAAGUUCUGUGCCUCUUAGGCAAACACCCAAUGUGGAAACAGCUGGCCUUGGAAUGCUAUAAACACAACAUGCGAUAACUUUUGCCAGGAUGUUUUGUAGGGGUUAUAAUGAUAUGUGUAAAUUGGUGUUGAGAAAGGAAAUGGCGGCAAG